UACAGAGGUCUCAAGCGUUGUUCGGAUUCAUUGGGCGUAAAGAGCUCGUAGGCGGCUGUUCAAGUCGAACGUGAAAACUCGGAGCUCAACUCCGAGCCUGCGUUCGAUACUGGACGGCUAGAGUCUGGUAGGGGGAUCUGGAAUUCCUGGUGUAGCGGUGGAAUGCGCAGAUAUCAGGAGGAACACCGGUGGCGAAGGCGGGAUCCUGGGCCAGUACUGACGCUGAGGAGCGAAAGCGUGGGGAGCAAACAGG
rnacentral:rRNA from 1 species